rnacentral:rRNA from 1 species
ACGCGCGGAACCUUACCAGGUCUUGACAUCCUCUGACACUCCUAGAGAUAGGACGUUCCCCUUCGGGGGACAGAGUGACAGGUGGUGCAUGGUUGUCGUCAGCUCGUGUCGUGAGAUGUUGGGUUAAGUCCCGCAACGAGCGCAACCCUUGAUCUUAGUUGCCAGCAUUUAGUUGGGCACUCUAAGGUGACUGCCGGUGACAAACCGGAGGAAGGUGGGGAUGACGUCAAAUCAUCAUGCCCCUUAUGACCUGGGCUACACACGUGCUACAAUGGAUGGUACAAAGGGCAGCAAAGCGGUGACGCCUAGCAAAUCCCAUAAAACCAUUCUCAGUUCGGAUUGUAGGCUGCAACUCGCCUACAUGAAGCUGGAAUCGCUAGUAAUCGCGGAUCAGCAUGCCGCGGUGAAUACGUUCCCGGGCCUUGCACUCACCGCCCGU